GCUUGACUGUAGCUUGUAAUUGGGUUCGGGCUUUUUUUGCGCAGCCUAGGUGGGAGGCAACGAUGAUUUUUUUUCCGGAAAAAAUUUGAGCCGUUAGUGAGAGACCACUCUGAAAAGGCUAGAAUCCUAAUAAUGAUCCUUGAAUCAGGACAUUUGACAGUUGCAGGUGGGCAGUUUUUACUGGGGCGGUAUUCUCCUAAAAAGUAACGGAGGGGUGCAAAGGUUCCCUCAAGCUGGACGGAAAUCAGCUUAAGAGUGUAAAGGCAAAAGGGAGCUUGACUGCAAGACCUACAAGUCGAGCAGGGGCGAAAGCCGGCCUUAGUGAUCCGACGGUACCACGUGGAAGGGCCGUCGCUCAACGGAUAAAAGUUA
rnacentral:rRNA from 1 species